AUUGAACGCUGGCGGCAGGCCUAACACAUGCAAGUCGAACGGUAACAGGAAGAAGCUUGCUUCUUUGCUGACGAGUGGCGGACGGGUGAGUAAUGUCUGGGAAACUGCCUGAUGGAGGGGGAUAACUACUGGAAACGGUAGCUAAUACCGCAUAACGUCGCAAGACCAAAGAGGGGGACCUUCGGGCCUCUUGCCAUCGGAUGUGCCCAGAUGGGAUUAGCUAGUAGGUGGGGUAACGGCUCACCUAGGCGACGAUCCCUAGCUGGUCUGAGAGGAUGACCAGCCACACUGGAACUGAGACACGGUCCAGACUCCUACGGGAGGCAGCAGUGGGGAAUAUUGCACAAUGGGCGCAAGCCUGAUGCAGCCAUGCCGCGUGUAUGAAGAAGGCCUUCGGGUUGUAAAGUACUUUCAGCGGGGAGGAAGGGAGUAAAGUUAACACCUUGGCUCAUUGACGUUACCCGCAGAAGAAGCACCGGCUAACUCCGUG
rnacentral:rRNA from 1 species